UUAAAAGCAAUGCUGAGGUUUAUGCGAAAACCACGAUUGAGGCACACUGCAGAGAUCGUUUCGACAAUUUCUGAGCCUACAGCUGAUGUUAACGAUAGCCGGAAGUUAUCUAAAACGAAGUGACGGCGCAGGCAGUCAAUAUCAUUCAACUCACGCCCCAGCGACGGCUUUCAAAGGAUAACGUAACCCGAUCUCUAAGGCCAUGCUUUUGCUGGCUGCAGACCACGGAAGCAAUCCAAAAAAAGAAAAUACGUCAUAGAAUUUAUUUCUACGAUAAACUAUAGCGUAAAAUGUGGACUGUUCGGUGGCUUGUUUUGCCUCGCAACAUAUAUACGUAGCUGGGCGUAACACGGCACAAAACAUGAGUUUACUGGUUAAUAUUGUUGGCAUCACAGAGGCCACAACAACCUCACAAGUACGCAGGUGUCGCUGUUGUUUUUCCUCAGUCUUCAAGAUGGCGGUCGUCUGUGCGAGCUGCAACCGCGCUGCUUACGAUAUAUUUUCUCUAUCGUGUGUUUUUGUGUUUGCUGUAAUGAAACGGGACGUAGUUAGCGUGCACAAAAGUGCCAGAAGAUACCUCGUGUCUCGCUGCGAACUCGCCGUAUGCGUGGCGCGCCAGGCAAAUGUGGACCAACGAUUUUUAUGUCGUGGCCUUUGUCUGGUUGUCGUGGAAAGUUGGGUGGACGUCGAAAAAAAAUAAUGCGUAUUGUUAGCGUGCCUCAGCUCGUCCACUACGCAGCGACAUCUAUGAUGGGAGUAAUGUCGUCGACGCAGCACCGGCAACUUGGAGAGCGUCGUACCAUUGAAAAGUGGUGAGACCGUGACCCUAUAGCAGUGUCAACAUAAUGGCAGGGAAAUGCAGGGAUCCCGCAGCCAUGGCUACAGCAGUACAGGGUGUAAUCUGGAUGUCAUGUCAGACCUGAAGCCUGCAGCUUCAGAUUGUGCGCUUGACUGUCAAGCCUUGUGAAGGAGAGGAUGGAGGCUUUUAUUUCCCCUUACCACCUGGAUGCGUCACAUCAUAUGCCUACGGUGAAAUACGAGGGAACUAGCCUGCUGCAAGCAAGAGCCCUCCAUGUACAGCUCGAAUCGAUCAAGAUUGACGAAGAUGACCUUGUCUCUGGCCUUGCCACGCAGAUUGCCCUUUACUGGAUAUUCGACAUUGUUUUUGUGCCAAAGGCACAAAGAACAUUUGA